UCUCUCGUUGUCUCUCUUCGUCCUCUUCUCUUUCAAAAGCCAUGUUAUUUUUGGGCCUAAACCAACCUCGAGGCUUUGGUGAUUCAAGGUUGGCUUAGGGAGUGGGAGAUCUGUUGUAGCGUUUUCUGACGACGACGUAGAUUUGGAUCUACGAGGCAUCGAAGGCGUUCGAUGGAGCAGGGGAGUUGGCCUGAGCCUAGAGCUUGGGGUGCUCGAGGAUUUUGUUGUGGGUUGGAGGGUAUGUUGUUUAACAUUCAAGUGCUUUCCCCCUUCUCACUCUGGACUUCUAUGUGCAGGGAUUUGUCUAACAACUAUUUAUCAACAAGUCUUCCCCCAUGUCUUAAAGCCCUUUUCUUUACACUUCUCCUCUCUCACUCUACUGCCGAGCCGGAUUUCUUUCAUUCGAUCUCUUUUCUCUACUGCGGAUCUGCCAAAUUUAUCGAGGAACUAGCCGCAAUGGUGAAGAAGGAGUUUCGGAGCUUUUAGUUUCGAAACUGGAAGGCUCAGAUCUACAAAAGGCCCUAACUUCCAGGGCUCGAUAUCGCCAGACGCGCGACGCGUCAUUGUCCCCUUUACUUUUAGGGCCUUAAGGGGUUGAUGUUAACUAUGAAGAGAUAAUUGAAGCAACUUCAAUUGGCUUUAGUUCAGUGAUUUCCAAAUUUGUUCGAAUGUUGGAUUUGGAGAAGGGAAUGAUGGACUACCUAUAUGCAAAGUGCACUCCUUGUAUCAUAGAUUGUGUAAUGGCAGAGCUUGAGAAGUUGGGUCAGAAAUAUCGUGUGGCUCUGAGUUGCAAGUAAUAAUGAAAUCUGAAGAUAUGUGUUUGGAGUCCGCUAAGUUCUUCCCUGUGUUUGAUAAGGUCAAGAAGCUGCAAAAGGGACUGUCUAAGGAACCCUGUGAAUCACUGACGAAGCUUACAAGAGUAUCACUUCUAGUAGUGUAUAUCUCAUGGAUGUAUUUUUAACUUGUAAAUUUAUUGUAUAAUACAUUUAAAAUACAGUACAAGAUCAUAUAUGCACCAAU